rnacentral:rRNA from 1 species
CGGGAAUUCGAUUAGAGUUUGAUCAUGGCUCAGGAUGAACGCUACCGGGAGGCUUAAUACAUGCAAGUCGAGGGGCAGCAGCUUUAUAGCAAUAUAGAGGCUGGCGACCGGGAAACGGGUCCGGAACACGUUCACAACCUUCCUUGAAUAGGGGGAUAGCCCAUAGAAAUGUGGAUUAAUACCCCGUAAUAUAGCGGUGUGGCAUCACACUGUUAUUAUAGUUUCGGCGAUUCGAGAUGGGUGUGCGGCUGAUUAGGUAGUUGGCGGGGUAAAGGCCCACCAAGCCUUCGAUCAGUAGCUGAUGUGAGAGCAUGAUCAGCCACACGGGCACUGAGACACGGGCCCGACUCCUACGGGAGGCAGCAGUAAGGAAUAUUGGUCAAUGGACGCAAGUCUGAACCAGCCAUGCCGCGUGAAGGAUGAAGGUCCUCUGGAUUGUAAACUUCUUUUAUAGGGGGCGAAAAAAGGUCUUUCUAGAUCACUACGUAUUACCGCGGCUGCUGACCCAGGAUCAAACUCUAAUCACUAGUGAAUUCGCGGCCGCCUGCAGGUCGACCAUAUGGGAG